CCUGUUGAUGAAGAUGAGAUCAUCUCCCACAUCCUGCACGGCCUGGACUCGGACUACAACUCCUUUGUGUCCGCCAUCUCAACU
rnacentral:ncRNA from 1 species